CGGAGGAAAAGAAACCAACAGGGAUUGCCCUAGUAACGGCGAGUGAAGCGGCAACAGCUCAAAUUUGAAAUCUGGCCCUUGGGUCCGAAUUGUAAUUUGUAGAGGAUGAUUUUGGUGCGGUACCUUCCGAGUUCCUUGGAACAGGACGCCUUAGAGGGUGAGAGCCCCGUACGGUUGGAUACCUAGCCUCUGUAAAUCUCCUUCGACGAGUCGAGUAGUUUGGGAAUGCUGCUCUAAAUGGGAGGUAAAUUUCUUCUAAAGCUAAAUACUGGCCAGAGACCGAUAGCGCACAAGUAGAGUGAUCGAAAGAUGAAAAGCACUUUGAAAAGAGGGUUAAAUAGCACGUGAAAUUGUUGAAAGGGAAGGAUUUAUGACCAGACUUUUUCUGGGCAGAUCAUCCGGUGUUCUCACCGGUGCACUUUGCCCAGUUUAGGCCAGCAUCGAUUUCCGGAGGGGGAUAAAAGCUUUAGGAAUGUGGCUCCCUCGGGAGUGUUAUAGCCUAUUGUAUAAUACCUU
rnacentral:rRNA from 1 species